rnacentral:rRNA from 1 species
AUGUUCCGAUUUAUCGGCGCUUGGCUACAGGCGGUGCUCCGGUAUAUUGCUGCGUGGCUUCCGGCGGCGGCGGAUGAUUCUGACGCCGCUGUUUCGUCGCCUCAUGCGGCGAUGGAUUUCCCCGUCACGGCUUCGCUCGGCCCCCUCCACCGGCCGCUCCAUUCCUUCAGGGCCACCAAGAACAACCUGCCGGAUGGGGUCAGCGAGGGCCAGGUCCGGCGCCUCGAGGCAGAUCUGGAGACACUGUUCACCGAGCUCAAGAUCGUGUCGGAAGCGGACGACCCAAGCUUCACGGCCAGGUGCUGGAUGAAGGAGGUGCGGGAGCUCCGUUACGACGCGGAGGACUUCUUCAACGAGGUCCCGCACUCCUCCGCCGGCGCCGGCGACGGUGCCACCCGCAGAGGCGCUCUCCUCACCACCAUCCUCUCGAUUCCCAGUAGGCUGAAGCGGCGGCGGCAGGUUGCAGAAGCUUUCUCAGAUCUGCGGGCUCGCGUGAAGGAUGCGAGUCAAAGACGCCAAAGUUUCCAGCUUGGUCCAGCGACCAUGAGAGAUGAAUUUGGGAAAGCCAACGCCAGCCGCUCCCCCAAAUUUAUCGGUCUUGAGGAGUCCAUGGACAAGCUUGUCAAACUGAUGGCUUUUGACAGUGAAGAUGCAGAGCAACAAGUUCAGGUGGUAUCUAUCGUUGGAUCUGCAGGUGUUGGCAAAACCACACUUGCCAGGACCUUCUAUUGUAAAUUUGGAUGGAAAUUCCAGUGUCGGGCUUUUGUGCGGGUGUCGCGAAAUCCAGACAUGAGGAGGAUGCUUUCCAGCAUGCUCUCACAAAUUAAGGCGCCACCGGUCCAUGGCUUUCCCGAUGUGCAGGACCUUAUUGACCAUAUCAGAGAAUAUCUGCAAUGCAAAAGAUACUUGAUUGUAAUUGAUGACUUAUGGGCCUCCUUGACAUGGGAUGUUAUUAGCCGUGCUUUUCCUGAUGGUGAUUGUUGCAGCAGAAUAAUAGUAACCACGGAAAUCGAGGAUGUAGCACUGGCAUGCAGUAGGUACCAGUUUAAGUACAUGUAUGAGAUGAGUCCUCUUAAUGGUGAUCAGUCAAGACAGUUAUUCCUUGGUAGAGUUUUUGAGUCUGAAAAUGAUUGUCCUCCAGAUUUCAAACAAGUUGCAUAUGAGAUUAUCCGGAAAUGUGGAGGUUUACCAUUAGCAACUGAAGAUAUAGCAAGCAUGUUAGCAUGUCAGCUAAACGUCGAUCAAUGGAAACAUGUAAGAGAUUCUUUACCCUCUUUGAGUUUGAGGACAAACCCUAGUUCUGAAGGGUUGAAAGAAGUUCUCAACAUUAUUUACAAUAACCUUUCGCCAAAUUUGAAGACAUGCUUGCUAUAUCUUGGUAUAUAUCCAGAGGGAUGGACUAUCAGCAAAGAUGAAUUGGUGAAGCAAUGGGUAACUGAAGAUUUUGUCCGCGAUGAGCAAGACAGAGAGAAAACUGCACGAGAUUAUUUUGAUAUACUUGUCAGUAGAGGAAUGAUCCAACCUGUAGAAAAAGAUUAUAAUGAUGAGGUGUUGACAUGUACAAUUCACCACAUGGUACUAGAUCUUAUCAGGUGCAAAUGUCUCGAGGAGAAUUUCAUCAUUAAUGUGAGCUGCUUUCAAACAACUCCAGGUCUUCCUGACAAGGUUCGUCGACUGUCUGUCCAAUUUGGUGGUGCAAAAUGUGCAAGUAUACCAGCAGACUUCAUGAUGACUCAAGUUAGAUCACUUGUUUAUUUUGGGUUCUAUAACUGUGUACCUUCCAUUGUGGAAUAUAAGCUCCUUCGAGUUCUGAUUCUUCAUAUCUGGGCUGAUGAAAGCAAAAUAUUUGACCUCACUAGAAUUAGUGAACUGUUUCAGCUGAGGUAUCUGAAAAUUGAUUGUAACAUCACUGUCCAUCUGCCAGAUGAGAUUCGACAGCUAAAAUUCUUGGAGACACUGGAGCUGCAUGCACCAGUAAAUGAUAUGCCAUCGGAUAUUAGUUGCUUGCCAUUACUUCGCACUCUGGGCUAUUUUGAUCUCAGCAAGAACGCAACAGAGACUGUACAGAGCCUUGGGGAGCUGAACAAUCUCGAAGACCUUCAUCUCACUUGGUGUAACAGUGCAGAGCCUGACAAUCUGAAGAACAAUAUGCAAUGCCUGGGCUCAAUUCUCGGGAAACUCAGCAACCUCAAGUCUUUAACUCUAGUACCUGCAGCCGCCUCUCAUGCAGAUGUUCUGGGCGACGCUGGUGGUGCAAGCGUGCAUAUUUCUGGCGAUGUCUUCAGCAGCGUGUCCUUUCCCCCAGCCCUUCUUCAGAGGCUUGAGCUAGGGCGCUGUUGCAUCUUUUCCAGCCUACCCGAGUGGACCAAAGAACUUGGCAAUCUCUGCGUUUUGAAGAUCUCAGUUAGGAAGCUGUUGAGUAAAGAUAUAGAUAUUCUCAAAGGAUUGCCAGCCCUCAUGGCUCUCUCGCUGUACGUCUGGACUGCCCCUGUAGGGAAGGUCAUCUUUGAUAACGAGGGAUUCUCGGUUCUCAAAUACUUCAAGUUCACGUGUGCUGCCCCAUGCGUGGCAUUUCUGAAAGGAUCAAUGCCUAGUGUCCGGGAGCUUAAGAUAGCAUUCAAUGCUAAUAGAAUGGAGCAAUACAGCCAGAUAUUUCCUGGCUUAGAGUACCUGAUAGAACUUAGAGAGAUCACUGCAGAAGUUGGGGGCACUGGUACUGAUGAAUCCGAUAAAAGGUAUGCGGAGUCGGCAUUGAGUGGCGCCAUUGCCAAUCAUCCAUGCACUCCUAUAAUCAGAGUACAGUGUGUAGAUCAGAUUUUAUUUGGUGUCGUCACACAAGAACAAGAACACUGGACUCUGGACGAACAACAUGAGAUACAAGAGGAAUUGCUUGAUCCUCCCAUACCAGUACAAGAUCAGCCAGACAACAGCACUCCAGGCACUGAUGGUAAGGAUGAUUUCCAGAAGUUGCGCACAUACCUUCUAUUGCUUGGCAUCCUUGCCGCCACAGUCACCUACCAAGCUGGGACGAGUCCACCAGGAGGCUUUUGGGCAGAUAACAGUGAUGUGCAUACUGCUGGUGAUCCAAUUUUGGAGGUCAUCAGUCCCAAGCGCUACAAGGCAUUCUUUUAUUGCAAUGCCACAGCAUUUGUAGCAUCUUUGGUCGUCAUCAUCCUACUCCAGAGUCAGCUGAUUACCAUUCGUGCCAUCAAGCGUCGUGUACUGCAAACAGCGAUGGCACUGAUCCUCUUUGGUCUCAUGGGAGCCUAUGUUGCUGGAAGCAGCAGGAAGUUCUCCACAUCCAUAUAUGUGUUCGCCCAAGUCCUCGUAGUUUUCGCCUAUGUUGUACUUCAUACUCUAUAUGAGAGCAGAGCCGGGAAUACUGAGAGCACAGUAGGGAGUACUGGGACUUACAUGCCAGAAACCUUCCAAAAUCCUAGUUCUUCUGAACCUACUCCUGAAGAAAUAAAAGAUUUGCAGAAGAGGCGCAAGUUUCUGAUGUUGCUCGCAACUCUAGCAGCUUCUAUCACAUACCAAACUGGGAUGAGCCCACCAGGUGGCUUUUUGGCAGAUAACAGUGAUGUGCAUGCUGCUGGUGAUCCAAUUUUGGAGGUCAUCAGUCCCAAGCGCUACAAGGCAUUCUUUUAUUGCAAUGCCACAGCAUUUGUAGCAUCUUUGGUCGUCAUCAUCCUACUCCAGAGUCAGCUGAUUACCAUUCGUGCCAUCAAGCGUCGUGUACUGCAAACAGCGAUGGCACUGAUCCUCUUUGGUCUCAUGGGAGCCUAUGUUGCUGGAAGCAGCAGGAAGUUCUCCACAUCCAUAUAUGUGUUCGCCCAAAUCCUCGUAGUUUUCGCCUAUGUUGUACUUCAUAUUCUGUUGCUUGUUAACAAGAGGCUAUGCAACGAUGGUCUGAGGCUACGUGCAUGCAUACUGGUUGUUCUGAUCAGCCUCAUGGGUGCUUUUGCUACUGGAAGCUGCAGAAAAGUGUCAACAUCUGGCUAUGUCAUUCUUGUUGUUCUUGCAGUGUUUGUCUAUGUCAUGAUUCAAGUCGCCAACACAAACAAGGGACGGAGUGCAGGUGAACAAACGGAAAGAUCGAAGGAGCAAGAACAAGAACACCGGAUUAUGGAAAAACAACACGAGACACAAGUGGAAUUGCUUGAUCCUCUUGCCGAUCACCUUAUUUCCACUCCAAGCACACAAAUACAAACCAGAGACGGUGGGCAGAAUGGAGGAGCAGAGAGAUCAAUGGAGGUGCUGACACUAGAACAACACCACAUGACUCUGGUCAAACAACACAAGAUUCAAGAGGAAUUGCUUGACCCUCUUCCCGAACUUCUUUCCACCUCAAGCACACAAACACAAACAAGAGAUGGAGUUCAGGGUGAACAAAUUGAAGGAUCGAUGGGGGUCCUAACACAUGAACAUGGGCACUUAUCUCUGGAAAAACAACAAGAGAUUCAAGAGGAAUUGCUUAAUCAAGCUCCUUCCGCUCCAAGCAGACAAACACAAGCAAGAAAUCAAGUGCAGGAUGGAGAAAUAGAGAGAUCGAUGGAGGUGUUUACACAAGAGCAAGAACAGUGUACCGUGGAUGUUGAGUAUAUAUGUGUUGCAUGUAGUAUGUAUAUUGUGGCCCGCCUCCUAGUUAUGUAUAGUUGA